rnacentral:rRNA from 1 species
GAGUUUGAUCUUGGCUCAGAAUGAACGCUGGCGGCAUGCCUAACACAUGCAAGUCGAACGAAGGCUUCGGCCUUAGUGGCGCACGGGUGCGUAACGCGUGGGAAUCUGCCCUUGGGUUCGGAAUAACUCAGAGAAAUUUGAGCUAAUACCGGAUGAUGUCGAAAGACCAAAGAUUUAUCGCCCAAGGAUGAGCCCGCGUAGGAUUAGCUAGUUGGUGAGGUAAAGGCUCACCAAGGCGACGAUCCUUAGCUGGUCUGAGAGGAUGAUCAGCCACACUGGGACUGAGACACGGCCCAGACUCCUACGGGAGGCAGCAGUGGGGAAUAUUGGACAAUGGGCGAAAGCCUGAUCCAGCAAUGCCGCGUGAGUGAUGAAGGCCUUAGGGUUGUAAAGCUCUUUUACCCGGGAUGAUAAUGACAGUACCGGGAGAAUAAGCUCCGGCUAACUUCGUGCCAGCAGCCGCCGU